rnacentral:rRNA from 1 species
AGUGAACGCUGGCGGUAGGCCUAACACAUGCAAGUCGAACGGCAGCACAGUAAGAGCUUGCUCUUACGGGUGGCGAGUGGCGGACGGGUGAGGAAUACAUCGGAAUCUACUUUUUCGUGGGGGAUAACGUAGGGAAACUUACGCUAAUACCGCAUACGACCUACGGGUGAAAGCAGUGGAUCUUCGGACCUUGCGCGAUUGAAUGAGCCGAUGUCGGAUUAGCUAGUUGGCGGGGUAAAGGCCCACCAAGGCGACGAUCCGUAGCUGGUCUGAGAGGAGGGUCGGCCACAUUAGAACUGAGACACGGUCCAGACUCCUACGGGAGGCAGCAGUGGGGAAUAUUGGACAAUGGGCGGAAGCCUGAUCCAGCCAUACCGCGUGGGUGAAGAAGGCCUUCGGGUUGUAAAGCCCUUUUGUUGGGAAAGAAAAGCAGCAGGUUAAUACCCCGCUGUUCUGACGGUACCCAAAGAAUAAGCACCGGCUAACUUCGUG